rnacentral:rRNA from 1 species
GAUGAACGCUGGCGGCAUGCCUAACACAUGCAAGUCGAGCGAAAGCAAGAGAAGCUCGCUCCUCUGCUGGUAGCGACGGACGGACGAGUAAGACAUGCGUAACCUACCUAUCUCUGUGUGAUAACUACGGGAACCAGAAGCUACUUCCGACUUCUAUUUUGCAUCUCCUGGUUCCCAAGUGAAAGAAGAUCUUUCUUCCACCUGUAGUUGGAUCGGCGCUGCUUGAGUUAGUUGCUAAGGUAAGGGCGGACCAAGGCAACGAUGAAUAGCCGACCUGAGAGGGGGAACGGCCACACUGGAGCUGCGACACGGUCCAGACAACUACGAGAGGCAGCAGUAGUGAAUCAUCCUGAAUGAGCGAAGGCCUGACGAAGCAACGCCGCGUGAGGGAGGAAGGUGUUCGGAUCGGAAAUCACUGUUAUUAGGGAGGAGCAUAUGUGUAGGUAGCGGUGCUCAUCGCGACGGUACCAAGACAGAAAGCCGCGGCUAACUGCG